AGCAGCCGCCGCGGUAAUACGUAGGGUGCGAGCGUUAAUCGGAAUUACUGGGCGUAAAGCGUGCGCAGGCGGUUCGUUAAGACAGAUGUGAAAUCCCCGGGCUUAACCUGGGAACUGCAUUUGUGACUGGCGAGCUAGAGUAUGGCAGAGGGGGGUAGAAUUCCACGUGUAGCAGUGAAAUGCGUAGAGAUGUGGAGGAAUACCGAUGGCGAAGGCAGCCCCCUGGGCCAAUACUGACGCUCAUGCACGAAAGCGUGGGGAGCAAACAGGAUUAGAUACCCCUGUAGUCCCUGUCUCUUAUAC
rnacentral:rRNA from 1 species